UGGUGGCAUAUGCCUGUGGUCCCAGCUACUUGGGAGGCUGAGGCAGGAGAAUCACUUGAGACUGGGAGCUCGAGGCUUAAGUGAGCAGUGAUCACUCCACUAUACUGCAGCCUGGGUGACAGAGUGAGACUUUGUCUCAAAAAUAAAAUAAAAUAAAA